rnacentral:SRP_RNA from 1 species
CUGUGCUAGAUGGGGAAUUAGCGGUGCCCUGUAACCUGCAAUCCGCUGUAGCAGGGUUUAAGUCCCGUUCUGAGGUCAUUUCCGCUUUCGGUUUGUACCCGGAAAGCGAUGUUGAUAGUCCGAGUCCUACGCAAUGGAUGGUUGUCAAACCCCGUCAGGACCGGAAGGGAGCAGCGGUAGACAGUUCUUCCAUGUGCCGUAGGUGAACUUGGCUGGAGUUGGCUACCGGGAAUGAAUCUGAAGUUUGGAGGAUCGAGGAGGGGUGCACAG